UCCCCAUGGCCUCACCUAUCAAUGCUCAGAAAACAUCAUAUUAAAAAACAAGCUGAUUCGCAUACAUAGAUUGAAACGGUUAUAAUAACUACAGCGGAAGCAGAUUCUAAAAUUUUUAAUCUGAUCUAAAAAUAUAGAUUUUCAAUCUUAAUCAACCUUAAGAUCGUCUAACAUACAUAAAUAAAUUAAUUGUAUAGAUCUGACAUCAUAAAUGAUAAAGGAAGAAGUUAUACCUGAUACUUUUCCCUCCACC
rnacentral:lncRNA from 1 species